rnacentral:tRNA from 1 species
GUGCUGGGGCUCAGUGGUAGAGCCCCUGCCUAGCACGUGUGAGGCUCUGGGUUUGAUCCUUAGCAUCACA